GACGAACGCUGGCGGCGUGCUUAACACAUGCAAGUCGUACGGUAAGGCCCUUUCGGGGGUACACGAGUGGCGAACGGGUGAGUAACACGUGAGUAACCUGCCCACAACUUUGGGAUAACGCUAGGAAACUGGUGCUAAUACUGGAUAUGUGCUCCUGCUGCAUGGUGGGGGUUGGAAAGCUCCGGCGGUUGUGGAUGGACUCGCGGCCUAUCAGCUUGUUGGUGGGGUAGUGGCCUACCAAGGCGGCGACGGGUAGCCGGCCUGAGAGGGUGACCGGCCACAUUGGGACGGAGAUAAGGGCCAGACUCCUCCGGGGGGAAGAAGGGGGGAAGAUGGAACAAGGGGCGCACGCCUGAUGCAGCAAACCGGCGGGCGGGAUGACGGGCUUCGGGUAGUAAACCGCUUUCCGCAGGGACGAAGCUUUUUGUGACGGUACCUGCAGAAGAAGCACCGGCUAACUACGUG
rnacentral:rRNA from 1 species